rnacentral:rRNA from 1 species
GGCAACCCUGACGGAGCAAUACCGCGUGAGGGAAGAAGGCUUUUGGGUUGUAAACCUCUUUUCUCAAGGAAGAAGAACUGACGGUACUUGAGGAAUCAGCAUCGGCUAACUCCGUGCCAGCAGCCGCGGUAAUACGGAGGAUGCAAGCGUUAUCCGGAAUUAUUGGGCGUAAAGCGUCCGCAGGUGGUGGAUCAAGUCUGCUGUCAAAGACUAGGGCUUAACCCUGGAAAGGCAGUGGAAACUGGUAGACUAGAGUACGGUAGGGGUAGAGGGAAUUCCCAGUGUAGCGGUGAAAUGCGUAGAGAUUGGGAAGAACACCAGUGGCGAAGGCGCUCUACUGGACCGUAACUGACACUCAGGGACGAAAGCUAGGGGAGCG